AAACCCAUAAAAUUUUAAGAAAUAAUAUACUAUUUUAGUUGAGACUAUUUGCUAAAUUAAAAUUUUCACACACCCCUUAAUUAAUUAAACAAAAACCAUCUCUUUUCUUAUUAAAU
rnacentral:snRNA from 1 species